CGGGUCCUGCGCAACGGGAAUCCAUGAAUCGUGUCAGGGUGGGAACACAGCAGCACUAAGUGGAAGCUCUCGUGUGCCGCAGGGCAGCCUG
rnacentral:SRP_RNA from 1 species